GCUCUGUCCUCAGCUCUCAGCUCAAACCACUCAUGUCUGGUAGAACUGGACCUUGGCAACAAUCAACUGCUGCAGGAUUCAGGAGUGAAGCUACUCUCUGCUGGACUGAAGAAUCCACACUGUAAACUGGAGAUACUGAGGUGAGAUCAUCUCUUAGUUACUUUGUAUGUAUGUGUGUGUGUGUGUGUGUUGAUCUGUUAGUGUGAAGAGCUUUUUUCUUCCCUCUGCAGGAUGUAUAACUGCACUAUUACAGGUGAAGGCUUUUCUGCUCUGGCUUCAGCUCUAAAAUCAAACCCCUCAUCUCACCUGAGAGAGCUGAACCUGAACUGGAAUAAGCCAGGAGAGUCAGGAGUUAAGUUGCUCUCUGAUCUACUGGAGGAUCCAUACUGCAAACUGGAGAAACUACACAUCUCAACAACAAAUAGCUGAUCUGCUUUCACACAGACCCCCACACACACAUACAUAACACCCACACAGACCCACACACACAUACACUUCCUCUCUGUGUGCUGACACGUCAUUCUUUAUCAACUUUAUGAUGUGAUUGGAACUGUGAGCUGCCUCUCAGUUGUGAAUCAGCAAAGUGAACAGCAGCCGGCUGAGCACACUGCCCUAGGGGGCUCUGUGUGAUGGUGUUAGAGAUGCUGCUCCCGAUCCAGACUGACUGAAGAUUCUCAGUGAGAAUGUCCAGGAUCCAAUUGCAGAGGGAAAUAUUCAGGCCCAGCAGGCUCAGCUUUCCAACAGCAUGGAUGUGCUGUUCACUUCAAAGCUGAAUUGAAGUCUAUGAACAGCAUUUUAACAUGUGUCCUCCUUUUCAAGAUGACUGCGGGCCAGAUGAAGAGUGGUGUACAUGGAGCAAUAUGUUAAAUGCAGUGUCCAGUGAAGGAGGCAGUUGGGUCUGGAUGUGCCUCAUUACAAGCCUCUCGAAGCAUUUCAUGAUGAUGGGUGUGAGUGUGGCGGGAUGACAGCCAUUGAGGCAGGAUACUGGAGAUUUCUUUGGUACAGAGACAAUGGUGUUGGCCUUGAAGCACAGUGGACAAAGGAGCUUCUUAGCAAGAUGUUAUAGAUGUCUGUAAAAACUUCCACUAGUUGGUCUGCACAUUCAGAGAGGAAUGUUGUCUGGUUUGCAGAGUUUUCCUCAUAUCAGCAGUGGACAGGUGCAAUGCGGGCCUUCAGCAGCCUUUGCAUCUCAGCAGUCAUUUAUGACUUCUGAGUUUUGUGUGUGAUGAUAGUCCCGGAGACAGUAACAUCAUCAAUGCAUUUGCACAUAUAGCCAGUCACUGAUACUGUGUAUUCCUUUGGGUUAACUUAAUCAUUGUCAUUGGCAGCCUCUCUAAACAUGCCCCAUGUGUUGCUCAAAGCAAUCUUGAAGAGGAGAAAUGGCUCCUGCUGGCCAGGUUUUCACCUGCUUCUGGACUGCUCUGGAGUGUCUUAUAAGCGGUCUGUAUGCAGGUAUCAGCAUUACAGGAGUGUGGUCUGAGUAGCCAAAGGUGGGGGUAGGGCUCCGCCCAGUAUGUGUCAGAAAAGUCUUUGGAGAAUCAAGUGCUUCAGUUUCAGCUGACUGUAACAAUG
ensembl:lncRNA